GAGGGUAUAGCUCAGUGGUAGAGAGCAUGCUUAGCAUGCGUGAGAUCCUGGGUUCAAUCCCCAGUAUCUCCA
rnacentral:tRNA from 1 species